ACUCAAAUGAAUUGACGGGGACCCGCACAACCGGUGGAGCGUGUGGUUCAAUUCGAGACAAAACGAAAAACCUCACCAAGGUUUGACAUGUAACCGUACAUUUUUCUAGAAAUAGAGAGAAAUCCGCAAGGAUGGUUACACAGGUGCUGCAUGGCUGUCGUCAGCUCGUGCCGUGAGGUGUUCCCUUAAGUGGGGAAACGAGCGCAACCCGCGCGAAAUGUUGAAUUUAUUCAUUUCGGACUGACCCGAUUUUAUAUCGGGUAGGAAGGAGCGGAAGACGUCAAGUCAGCACGGCCCUUAUACCUUGGGCUACACACACACUACAAUGGCGAAAAACAAUGGGCAGCAAGCCGGCAACGGCAAGCAAAUCCCUGAAAUUUCGCCUCAGUUCAGAUUGGGGUCUGCAACCUGACCCCAUGAAGUUGGAAUCGGUAGUAAUCGCAAAUCAGCAUGUUGCGGUGAAUACGUUCUCGGGUCUUGUACACACCGCCCGU
rnacentral:rRNA from 1 species